ACAGGGGAUAGUUUAACUGAGAAUCUUAGCUUUGGGAGUUAAGGGUGGGAGUUCAAUUCUCUCUUCUCUG
rnacentral:tRNA from 3 species